AUACAAGUCAUUACAAUAAUGUAAUUGAUAAAUAUGAUCUAAUUUAAGAUAAUCCUCUGGUCGACUGGCAAAAUUGACAAUUUUGAUAAUGAGCGAAAAAUUAAGCUCUUGAUAGUUUUUAUAAACGCAGACUCUUCAACUCUAUCUUCUCCUGGAUGGAUAUUUUCAACUCGGCCAAUGACCCAUUAAAAUGGUGAGAGUCCUUGUUGUUUAAUCAACACGAUUUGUCCAGUUUUUAGUCGGUCAUCUUUAUUGACCUUCCAUUUUUGCCGUUGUUGCAAUUGAUUGAGGUAUUCCAAGCUCCAACGAUUCCAGAAAUGUUGUCAGAGUUGUUCCACUCGUUGCCAACAGAUUAGGCGAGUCUCGUUGAUGUCUGCUAAAUCAUGGCAUAAAAAACUUCAGUUCAUCACCAAUUAAAAAAUGACCGGGAGUAAUAUAGCGUAAGUCAUUCGGAUCUGAGCUUAACAUAGUUAACGGUCAAGAAUUAAGUACGGCCUUCGCACAAUACUAUCUGUAAUUCUUCAAAUGUAAGAUGUGCAUUACUAACGACUCGAUGUAAGUGCUUCUUCACUGAUUUAAUCGCGGUCUCAAAAUCCACCGAAAUGUGGAGCAUUAGGAGGAAUGAACUGCCAAGAUAUUUUUAAAAAUUAUCGCGUAAAAAUUAUUUUAUUCUUUCUUGGGUUUGUUUUGUUUUAAGAAAGUCAUUGUAGAAUUUUGCUAAUUGACGCGAUGCACCAAUGAACGUAGUUUCAUUGUCUGAGUAUAUGGAGAUCGGUAUUCUCCCGCGUGAUAUGAAACAUUUUAAUGAUGCUAGAAAUGACUCAGCCGUUAAAUCGCUGACUAAUUCAAUAUAUAUCCCCUUGGUUGCCAAACAUAUAAAUAUACAUAUGUAUGCCUUGUGAUUACGCGAAUUACGUCGCUUACUCUCGUGACGGGACCUGCAUAGUCCUGUUAUGUCUGAACUUCACGAAUUCUUCUCUUUCGGAGAAAAAUAACGGUUGCUAAUCGACAAACAAAAAUGCUUCAAACUAGAAAAUGCUUCAAAUCUAGAAAAACUUUCUUUUUUAUUACCGAAAACGCAAGACUCUGAAAAAAUGCACAGAAUUCCUCUCGAGACACGUCCUGUCAUCAAAUCGUUUGGAAACAACAAUUUUUUGUGGACAACAGUCUCGCCGGCGCCAAAAGAUUUAUAGCACCCAUAGAUUUAGGAUUUAUAGCAUUCAUUAAUAAAAUUGGAAAUACUAACAAAAUCGAAAUUCCUGACGCAUGAGAAAUGCAUCGAGAUCGUUCAAGGCCAAAACUGGAGGGGAGACUAAAAAAACGCCAAUCAGGAGAAAGCAGCCGUUGGUGAAUAUACCAAUAGAUAAUUAAGGAUGUGGAACGAUGGAUGAAAUUUUCAUAAACUAAAUAAUUUCGUCAUUCGCCGGGAAAACCGGAAACAUAAAAACAAUCACGAUCCACUGAAUGCCGCUCCCCUCCUUUUCUACACUCCCCUACACUUCCCUACACCCUACACUUCCCUACACGUGAUUUUUCCGAACUCAUGAUUUUUUCGAACUAUCAUUUAAAAAUUAACAUAGAGAUCCAUCACGCCCUCAGAUCUUUCUCACUCUUCCAGAACCCUACAUAAACCUCGAUUUAGAGCAGAUCUUUCUCUUCUUUUUCUUACCUUCCCGAGGAGAGCAUCAUCUGGAGCAGUCGACGAAACCUCUUUUUAACAGUAUUAGAGUCUGUGCGCGAUCUAAAAAUCUCGUUGUGAAUCUCCAGCAAGGGAUCCCACCAACCAACAGUUUCACAGCCUACGACUUGUGCCCCGCAACAACAAAAAUUUUGAUAGUGGACCAAACGAUAAUAUCUGCCAACACCGCAAAAAACCGAACAAACGGGAGUUAAGACAUCUUCGGGAGAAGCAAAAUAAGCUCGUCACGAAAAUGAACGCGCCGUCCAGCUUACGGAACACCUAAUUGAGGUGGAACUUAAGCUCGCAACCCUAACGUUAGAAGACUACCACCGCUCUCCGCUCCGCGGCAGAAUUCGAGUGCAGUGUACUUCAAAAAAUUUUGAUUUGGAAAAAUUCUACAACCUUGUUCGACAAUUCCCUCAAUCCCCCGUACCUCCGGGACUCUUUUACGUAAAAUGCCGGUUUAAACCUACACCCAAAUUUUGGGAGGAAAUCUCUAAACGCCAAUCCCAUCACGCUAUCCCUAUGUACAUUUCUCAUGACCCUCUUCCUUAUCUUGUACCCGCUAAAUGCUUCUCCAGAGCGCAUCCUAAUUCUCUGCCACAUCUUGCGCCCGAUCCUAUCGAUAUGUUCGCCCUAUCGAUGUUAAUAUCAUAACGAAAUUCCUAUCUCAUCUCGAAUAGAAAUCUUGUAAAUCGCGAAGUCACGAUUAUGUAUCGUAAAAUUUUCACGUAUUUAAUAGCAUCUACGCUUUUGUACCGCUUUUGUAAUUUAGAUCCAUGUCAUUCUGUUUUCUUAAUCUUGAAUAAUUAGUAUUGUUAUUGAUGUGAAUGUAAACUUAAGCUCCGUUUAUGUAUUUCUUUUCUUUCUUUUACUUAUUAAAUUAUUGUUAAAUUGAGUUACGUUUAAAUUAUUUAAACCUCGUCAAUUCCCAGCCUCGAAGAUCGCACGAGGUCUUAUCCCAGGUUAAAAAGAUUCGGUUCUCUGACCAAAAGCGGAUCACCGACUUCUCUAGCGUAAGGUGUUAUAGCGACGUUGACCCCUGUGUAAAAGGUGCGUUCAACAUCUCAACGACCUGAGAAAAUAGAAAGUAGUUCCUUACGUCUACCCGAAUUCUUUCUCUUGAUCUAAUUUCUCUUCUUUCGAAGCUCGGACGUAACAGUCCACACCAUAAUAUGAAAAUGGACGUGAUGGUGUUACUUUCGGAGACGGCAAAACUCUCAUUUCUGCUUUUGAUGUUACCGGUUUCUGAUAUUAUGUUUAAAACAAAUGAUACAAUUUUGAAUAAUCCUUCGAGUGAUUGAACAGAGGCCGAAAAUUCUGCCUAACUGUGGCUAUGGUACCCUGCAAUCCUGCGUUCAGGCUUCUCUUUCUAUAAUCAACUGUGUGAGUCUAUGAUUUUUUGGAAGUAGAAUUGGAUGCCGUGCAUCAUAUAACAACCGAGAAUGUUUCAAUCUCCCCCAACACGAACUAAACCACAGUCCAUAAACGGCAACAAUGAAAUGAGCAAACUUGAAGAAGUAAAAGCGCUUCUCCCUUCCAAAGGCUUAUACUCAUUAGGAAAUAUUUCCUUUUGCAUUGUUCGGCGUAAAAUGGUCAAUGCCUCCGUAAUCUCUCCAUGUGACACAAAGAAAUCUGAUUUCGUCAAUGACUUACGAAAUCUUAAAUAAGCCAAGAUUCAACAGAUUCUACUUAAAUUUGAAAAUUUAUAAAGUAGUUCUGGAAUUACAUGUAGCAGUCAUGAUUAUCUUUCGUAAUUCUGGUAGGGCAAGUUCUGACCGAAGUAGCCAUGUGUUUGGCAAAUAUUCUUUGUUUUUAAAAAAUUCGGUCCAUGCCACCACAACGAAGAAUCAAUUAACUCACGUGGACUUAUAUCACAAGACAACAAAUCUGUCGGAUUCUCAGCUGACGGAACUUGACGCCAAACUGCGCCAUUCGUCAAUUUUUGUAUUUUGCCAAUGCGAUUCGCAAUUCGAAAA